ensembl:snoRNA Gm25015 predicted gene, 25015
UGUAUAUUAAAAAUUGCAGGUGUGACUGCUGUGUCACAUGUCUGUCAGUAUGUGAAACAAAUGAGAGAGGCUAUGUCUAUACUAAGUGUUCUGACCUAUGAACAUUUGAGUGAUUUAAUAGCCUAACACU